rnacentral:rRNA from 1 species
AACGAACGCUGGCGGCGUGGAUUAGGCAUGCAAGUCGUACGCGAAAGAGGGAGCAAUCCCUUGAGUAGAGUGGCGAACGGGUGAGUAACGCGUGAGAAACCUGCCUUUGACAGGGGGAUAACACUCCCAACGGGGUGCUAAUACCGCAUGAGACCACGGGAUCGCAUGAUCCUGAGGUCAAAGAUGGCCUCUAUUUAUAAGCUAUCGGUCGAAGAUGGUCUCGCGUCCCAUUAGCUUGUUGGCGGUGUAAAAGACCACCAAGGCGACGAUGGGUAGCUGGUCUGAGAGGAUGGUCAGCCACACUGGGACUGAGAUACGGCCCAGACUCCUACGGGAGGCAGCAGUCGAGAGGCUUCGGCAAUGGGGGAAACCCUGACCGAGCGACGCCGCGUGGAGGAUGAAGGCCCUUGGGUUGUAAACUCCUUUUAUUCGGGAAGAAGUGCGAUCAGGUGAAUAAUCUGGUCGUUUGACGGUACCGGAUGAAUAAGCUCCGGCUAACUCCGU